rnacentral:rRNA from 1 species
AACUGAAGAGUUUGAUCAUGGCUCAGAUUGAACGCUGGCGGCAGGCUUAACACAUGCAAGUCGAGCGGGGGAAGGUAGCUUGCUACUGGACCUAGCGGCGGACGGUGAGUAAUGCUUAGGAAUCUGCCUA